GAGAAGAUCUUGAAGCUUACUGCUGAUGCCA
rnacentral:piRNA from 1 species